UGUUCUAUUCACUGACUUAUUUGAUAAUGAGGAGGAAUAUGUUGGUGCGGAUGAUGAGCACAUCUAUAUGCCUGUGCCACCAUCAACUGCAGCAGCAUCCGAGCCUGAAUCUCAUGCACAACAAACUGAAUCUCAUGAAAAUAUCCCUGCUGCCGAAGGAGGUGAAGGAGGGGAAGGAGCUGAAGGAGGUGAAGGAGGGAAAAGAGGUUAAGGAGGUGGAGGAGGACCAGUUGAGGUAGAGGUAAAUGAUGCAGAUCCCCAGGAGUUCAAUGUGAUACAUGAUCCUGACCACCCAAAUAUUGAGAAGGUUUCAUUAUUUCCUGAUAUUGUGACAUUCAGAAAAGCAGUCAGGCAUUAUGCAGUGAAGAGGGGCUUUGAGUUCACUGACCUGAAGACAGAUAAGACCAGGUUCAUUGCCAAGUGUGCCCAUACAAAAUGUCCAUGGAGAAUACAUGCUUCUAGAGUUAAUGGUACCAAGACAAUUGAGAUAAAAGUCCUUCCUGCUGAGCACAAUUGCCCUACUACCAAACUGAGGGAAAGCAAAAUGACUACACAUGGGUGGGUUGCUGACAGACUGUCUGACUGGGUGAAGAAGAAUCCUGGCAAGGGUGCAAA